rnacentral:rRNA from 1 species
GACGUAGGGUGCGAGCGUUGUCCGGAUUUAUUGGGCGUAAAGAGCUCGUAGGCGGCUCGUCGCGUCGACCGUGAAAACCCGCAGCUUAACUGCGGGCUUGCGGUUGAUACGGGCGGGCUAGAGUUCGGUAGGGGAGACUGGAAUUCCUGGUGUAGCGGUGAAAUGCGCAGAUAUCAGGAGGAACACCAGCGGCGAAGGCGGUGCUCUGGGCCGGAACUGACGCUGAGGAGCGAAAGCGUGGGGAGCGAACAGG